rnacentral:rRNA from 1 species
AGCGAACGCUGGCGGCAUGCCUAACACAUGCAAGUCGAACGGCAGCACCGUAAGAGCUUGCUCUUGCGUGUGGCGCGUGGCGGACGGGUGAGUAAUACAUCGGAAUCCACCUUUUCGUGGGGGAUAACGCCGGGAAAUUUACGCUAAUACCGCAUACGACCCACGGGUGUAAGCAGGGGAUCUUCGGACCUUGCGCUAGUGAAUGAGCCGAUGUCGGAUUCGCUAGUUGGCUAGGUAAAGGCCAACCAAGGCGACGAUCCGUAGCUGGUCCGAGAGCAUGAUCCGACACAUUGGAAGUGAGACACGGUCCCGACACCUACGGGAGGCAGCAGUGGAGAAUAUUGCACGAUGGGGGAGAGCCUGAUCCAGCCCUACCGCGUGGGUGAUGAAGGCCUUCGGGUUGUAGAGCCAUGUUGUUGGGAAAGAAAAGCAGCAGGUUUAUCCGCCGCGAUAAUGACGGUACCGAAAGAAUAAGCACCGGCUAACUUCGUG